GCCGGGUGUGGUGGCUCACGCCUGUAAUCCCAGCACUUUGGGAGGCUGAAGCAGGUGGAUCACCUGAGGUCAGGAGUUCAAGACCAGCCUGACCAACAUGGUGAAAUCCUGUCUCUC
rfam:Chlorocebus sabaeus isolate 1994-021 chromosome 24, whole genome shotgun sequence.